CUGAUUUCAAUUUAUGACCCGAAGUGGUGGAAGCACUCCAAUCGAGCCAUACCCUGAUAUGGAGAGACUGGUAAGAUGCAACCAUCAAUCCAUGCAAAAUGAUCUACCUAUGUUAACUGAUUUACCUUAGGUAAAUCCUUUAUUUGAUGAUCCCUUCGAACAGCAAGUCCAGAUCCAUUAAGAGCUAUUGAUGGCUCAAAGACCAUUGCGUGAGUAUGCACUACCAACACUCAAUGUUGUACGAUCCAAAUGAUCCAAAACACCUUGCAGUUCCGAGUGAAUAUGAUGGAAGAUCCAAACAAGCACCUAAAGCGAUUCCUUUAGGUAUGUAACACUUUCAAAUACAAAGGGUAAUCGAUGAAGUGGUAUGUCUUUGAUUAUUUCCCUUUUCUUUAUGUGACCAUGCUGCUGAUUGGUUUGACUCAUUGGAACCUGGUUUCAUCACUACAUGGGAUGAAUUAGCGGGAAAAUUUUUACAUAUUUUUUCGUAAUUAGUAGAUCAAUUUAGCUUCACUUAAAGAUCGUAAACUUAAAGUAAUUUGAAUGAGAAAAUUUAUAUAAAGCUUGAGAUCGAUUCAAGUCAUUAUUGAGGAAGUGCCCUCAUUACGAAAUGCAAAAGUGGCUCCAAAUGCAAAUAUUCUAUAACAGUUUAGACAACAAUCUAAGACCCGCUUUGGAUGGUGCAUCUGGAGGAGCUUUAAUGAACCAUAGAUACGAGCGAGUAUGUCAAAUUAUUGAUGACAUGGAUAUGAACUCAUAUAUGUGGCCCAAGGAGAGGUUCACUUAUAACCCAAAACCACAAGCGACGAAAGCCACCCAAAAAGUGGAUGUUUAUCAAAUAAUUUUAGAGAAGUUGAACCGGUUGGAAGUGGCAGCUAAACUGACGAUUACGGAGUCGGGCCAACACUAUGGGAAAGAUUUGAAUCAUUAACCAAAUGAUGUUAACUACAUGGGUAAUAGGGGUGGAAAUCUCUAUUCGAAUACAUACAACCUCAGUUGAAAGGAUCAUCCAAACCUAAAGUGGGGAGGAAAUAAAAAAGGUGGAAAUCAACAGCAAACCUGAGCAAAUCCUCCUUACAAACCUCCACACAUAUAAAGAUCUCAAGGCAGAUCCAUGGAGAAUGACUAUAUUAUAUGUGGUCAGUGAUUUGAUCGAAUAAAGGGAAAGGUUCAAUUAAUGAAGAAAGACAUCUUACAAGUACAGUCUAAGUGUACUUUAACUAGAAACAUGUUGAAGGAUUUCAAAGAAAGCAUCCAAAACCAAAUAAACCAAAUGAUGGAGAUGAUGAGCAACAUGUAAAGGAAAAUUGGUACUAGAAUCCCGAGUAAUACGGAGAACAAUUCUCGGAAGGAUAGAAAGGAGCAUGUACAUGCUAUUGCCUUGCGAUUUGGUAAAACUCUUAAAGAUAUUAAAGCUCAUAUUUAAACAUGCAAGGAUUUGCAAGAAUUCGUCGAUGAACCCAUGGACAAAAAUAAGCGUGAUGAGCUGAUUGAACAAGUGACUGAAUUGGUGGCUGAGUUGGUAAUCAAAAACUCCGCAACCAAAAAAAAUAUUGUAACACCCUAUACCCAAUCCAGUCGUCGAACCCAAGCUAUAAGAUGUUACUUCACUUGUUGACAAUAAUCACCUAUGAAUUCAAUUUAAUUAUUAAAUCAAACAAGCAUUCAAUAAUAUAAGUGUAAUAUGUUUUACAACCAAAACUGAGUCUCAAUUGAGAUUACAAAGAUCUUAAAGCAACUCAGAAUCAAUUCAGGACUAGUUUGAAACUUUUACAAAUAGAUAGGUAAAAGGGAAAAACAGAUGCCACAUAGCAAUGUAGCCAGUGUGGAGCUAGAUAACAUGGUUGUGUACCUAAACCGUGCAACAAAUUGAAGCCGUGUAUAAAAGGGUCACACGGCCGUUUCACCAGGCUAUGUAACAGACUGAAGCCGUAUGGACCUAAAUGCAAAAUUACUAACAAAAGUCACACAACCGUGUCCUGGAUCGUGUAACAAACUAAGGCCGGGUAAGUUGGAGUCACACAGCUGUGUAUCUUGAUCAUGUAACUCACUGAGGCUGUGUACGUCAAUAACCUCUCAAAACAUAAAGACUACAAGUUUCUGCCACAUGGCGAUAUGUGUCACAUGGUUGCGCCACAUGGCCACGUGUGUCACACGAUUAUGUGUCAGACCAUGUGUACCAAAAAGAUACCCUACAAGGCCAGUUACAACUCUAAACACUCAAAUACACUAUGACCAUGCAACAUGCCAUUCCUUAACCUAUUCAAAUACACCAAAAGCAUGCCAAAAGACAACUUAAAUCAUCCACCCUAAGUGCCUAACCAAUAUGCCACAAUUGGCACCUCAAUUCAACAAUUAAUCAUUUAUCAUUCAUGUGUAAACAUACCAAAGUUUCAUACCUAUUUAUUCACCAAGAAAAACAUCAAUCCAAAGUGUCAAAUUCAAAAAGUAAAGCAUGAAAUUAACAAAUGCAAAUAUGCAUCUUUUUUAUGCCAACCAACACAACAACAUUACAUUUAUACAAAACCUUAUAAUGACAUCAAAAUUAUCAACUUAAAAAAGUUCAACCACAUAUAUUUACAAUGCCAAAACACCUAUUUACAUGCCACUUAUAACUGGGCCAAAAUUAACAAAAGUCUACCAAAAGAGUUGGUAAACUUAUUAACAUUUUAGUCCCUAACCUAUCCAAAUUCAACAUAUUAACAUUUUAGUCCCUAAACUCAAAACUAUCCAAAUUCACUUUAAAAAAUAGACUUAUUUCAACACCAAGCUUCACAUUCAACCAUUAACAUCCAAUAAGCUUUAAAAACAACAAUGGUAACUUCUCAAAACUUUGACAGAAUUUCAAAAUAGUCUCUGGGCUAGCUAGAUUAAGCUACAACGAUCUUAAAAACAUAAAAUUUACUAAAAACGAGCUUAGUUCUCAUACCAUGCAAAAAGGAUGAAGCUUGGUCGAUUCAUUCCUACCCCUCAAUAAUGGUGCUUUUGGUUCAAAAAAAAUGAAGAAGAUGGUGAUUUGUUUAUGUUAAUAUUUACUAAAUUUACUUAAUUACCUCUUAAUUUAACUUAAAUUUCUUUAAUAAACAUACCAUGACUAUCCUCUAUAACAAAUAUGGCCUAAUUGCCUCAUGAAACCCUUCAAUCAUGAUUUUAUAAUCAUUUAGCACAUAUAAAUUAAUAGCGAUUAACUUUUGUAGCUUUUACAAUUUAGUCUCUCUUUUUUUCCUUAAUUAACUAUUCAAACAUAAAAAUUAUCUGACCGAACUUUCAUACGAAAAUAUAAUAACCUUGUAAAUAUUAAAUAAAUAAUAUUUACAGACUCACACGUCAGAAUUAUAGUCCCGAAACCAUUAUUUCUAACACCACUGAAAUUGAGUUUUACAAAUACCAUUCUCAUUGAGGAUUAAGGACAAAUAGAAGAGGGAUGAAGCAAAUUUUGUAAGUGUUUUGAAAUUAUUUAAAUCCCUUAAUUUUAAUUUACCCUUAUUAGAAUUAACUGAUAAAAUACUGAAAUAUGUCUAGUACUUAAAAGAAAUUAUGUCUAGGCAUAAAAAUAUUAUAAAUGGAGAAGAAAUUGAUAUCGAUGCCUCAUGUAGUGCUAUUAUUCCCAAAAAGAUACCCCUUAAAUUGAAAGAUUCGAGUAGUUUUACAAUUCCAAUAGAAACAAGGGACAUUUAUUUUAGCAAGCCUCUUUGCGAUUUAGGGGUCAAUUUAGUUUAAUGUCUCUAUAGAUUUAUAGAAAACUCGGAUUAGGGAGUUAAAGAACACUUCAAUAACACUACAAUUAGCCGAUAGGUCUUUAGUAUGCCAAAAAGGUGUACCUGAUGACGUAUUGGUUAAAGUGAGAAAUUUUGUCGUCCUAAUCGAUUUUGUAAUCCUUGACUCCGAGGAAGAUCAAGAUAUCCCCAUACUGUUGGGUAGGUCGUUUUUGGCAACUCUUAGAUCAACCAUUGAUCUCGAGAAAAACAAAUUAACAAUGAAAAUUGAUGGUGAACUAGAAGUGUUUAAAUGCAGCAAAUAUUCCCAAGAUGAAUGAUUAGAAAAACAAUUAGGGAAUGAAUGUUUUGCAUUGUUUUAUGCAAACCCCUAAUUGUCUUAAUCAAAGGUAUGUUUCGAGUGUACCAUGUGUAGGAAAAAUGGUACAAGGGAACGAGACAAGUGGAAGGAUCCAGU
rnacentral:lncRNA from 1 species